AUCCUGGCUCAGGAUGAACGCUAGCGGCAGGCUUAAUACAUGCAAGUCGAACGAACAGCAAUGUUAGUGGCGCACGGGUGCGUAACGCGUAUGCAAUCUACCUUUUACAGAGGGAUAGCCCAGAGAAAUUUGGAUUAAUACCUCAUAGUAUGUGAGAAUCGCAUGGUUUUCACAUUAAAGUUCCAACGGUAAAAGAUGAGCAUGCGUCCCAUUAGCUAGAUGGUAAGGUAACGGCUUACCAUGGCGACGAUGGGUAGGGGUCCUGAGAGGGAGAUCCCCCACACUGGUACUGAGACACGGACCAGACUCCUACGGGAGGCAGCAGUGAGGAAUAUUGGACAAUGGGCGCAAGCCUGAUCCAGCCAUGCCGCGUGCAGGAUGACGGUCCUAUGGAUUGUAAACUGCUUUUGUACAGGAAGAAACACUCCCUCGUGAGGGAGCUUGACGGUACUGUAAGAAUAAGGAUCGGCUAACUCCGUG
rnacentral:rRNA from 1 species